AACGAACGCUGGCGGCAGGCUUAACACAUGCAAGUCGAGCGCCCUGCUUGCAGGGAGCGGCGGACGGGUUAGUAACGCGUGGGAACGUGCCCUUCACUACGGAAUAGCCCAGGGAAACUUGGAUUAAUACCGUAUACGCCCUUAGGGGGAAAGAUUUAUCGGUGAAGGAUCGGCCCGCGUUAGAUUAGGUAGUUGGUGGGGUAACGGCCUACCAAGCCGACGAUCUAUAGCUGGUUUGAGAGGAUGAUCAGCAACACUGGGACUGAGACACGGCCCAGACUCCUACGGGAGGCAGCAGUGGGGAAUCUUGGACAAUGGGGGAAACCCUGAUCCAGCCAUGCCGCGUGAGCGAUGAAGGCCUUAGGGUUGUAAAGCUCUUUCGCCAGGGAUGAUAAUGACAGUACCUGGUAAAGAAACCCCGGCUAACUCCG
rnacentral:rRNA from 1 species